CACUUUUGUCGCCAAUAUACAAAUCAGCAGCACCAAACAUAUUAUAUAUAUAUAUAUAUAUAUAUAUAUAUAUAAUAUGUUUGGUGCUGCUGAUUUGUAUAUUGGCGACAAAAGUN
rnacentral:miRNA from 14 species